GACGAACGCUGGCGGCGUGCUUAACACAUGCAAGUCGAACGGUAAGGCCCUGCUUUUGUUGGGUGCUCGAGUGGCGAACGGGUGAGUAACACGUGAGUAACCUGCCCUUUACUGUGGGAUAACUUUAGGAAACUGUGGCUAAUACCGCAUAGGAGCACCUGCUGCAUGGCGGUUGCUGGAAAGUUUCGGUGGUUUGGGGUGCACUCGCGGCUUCUGAGCUUGUUGGUGAGGUUGUGGCUUCCAAAGGCCUUGACGGGUAGCCAGACUGAGAGGGAGACCGGGCACAUAGGGAUAGAGGAAGCAGCAGUACGGAUACGGGAGGAAGGAGUGGGAAAUAGAGCAAAAUAGGCGGAAGCAGGAAGCAGCGACGCCGCGUGCGGGAUGACUGUCGUCAGGGUGUAAACCGCGUUCGCCUGUGACGAAGAGUGAGUGACGGUAAUGUAUAAGGAAGCAACGGCUAACUACGUG
rnacentral:rRNA from 1 species